GCUGGGCAUAGUGGUGCAUGCCUGUAAUCCCAGUGACUCGGGAGGCUGAGGCUGAAGAUUAUGAGUUCAAAGCCAGCUUCAG
rnacentral:sRNA from 1 species